AGUGAACGCUGGCGGUAGGCCUAACACAUGCAAGUCGAACGGCAGCACAGUAAGAGCUUGCUCUUACGGGUGGCGAGUGGCGGACGGGUGAGGAAUACAUCGGAAUCUACUUUUUCGUGGGGGAUAACGUAGGGAAACUUACGCUAAUACCGCAUACGACCUACGGGUGAAAGCAGGGGAUCUUCGGACCUUGCGCGAUUGAAUGAGCCGAUGUCGGAUUAGCUAGUUGGCGGGGUAAAGGCCCACCAAGUCGACGAUCCGUAGCUGGUCUGAGAGGAUGAUCGGCCACACUGGAAGUGAGACACGGUCCAGACUCCUACGGGAGGGAGCAGUGGGGAAUAUUGGACAACGGGCGCAAGCCUGAUCCAGCCAUACCGCGUGGGUGAAGAAGGCCUUCGGGUUGUAAAGCCCUUUUGUUGGGAAAGAAAAGCAGCAGGUUAAUACGCCGCUGUUCUGACGGUACCCAGAGAAUAAGCACCGGCUAACUUCGUG
rnacentral:rRNA from 1 species